UAGGGAAUCUUCGGCAAUGGACGGAAGUCUGACCGAGCAACGCCGCGUGAGUGAAGAAGGUUUUCGGAUCGUAAAGCUCUGUUGUAAGAGAAGAACGAGUGUGAGAAUGGAAAGUUCACACUGUGACGGUAUCUUACCAGAAAGGGACGGCUAACUACGUGCCAGCAGCCGCGGUAAUACGUAGGUCCCGAGCGUUAUCCGGAUUUAUUGGGCGUAAAGCGAGCGCAGGCGGUUAGAUAAGUCUGAAGUUAAAGGCUGUGGCUUAACCAUAGUACGCUUUGGAAACUGUUUAACUUGAGUGCAGAAGGGGAGAGUGGAAUUCCAUGUGUAGCGGUGAAAUGCGUAGAUAUAUGGAGGAACACCGGUGGCGAAAGCGGCUCUCUGGUCUGUAACUGACGCUGAGGCUCGAAAGCGUGGGGAGCAAACAGGAUUAGAUACCCUGGUAGUCCACGCCGUAAACGAUGAGUGCUAGGUGUUGGGUCCUUUCCGGGACUCAGUGCCGCAGCUAACGCAUUAAGCACUCCGCCUGGGGAGUACGACCGCAAGGUUG
rnacentral:rRNA from 1 species